rnacentral:rRNA from 1 species
UACGGAGGGUGCAAGCGUUGUUCGGAAUCACUGGGCGUAAAGGGCGUGUAGGCGGUCCGCUAAGUCUGAUGUGAAAGCCCGAGGCUUACCCUCGGAAGUGCAUUGGAGACUGGCGGACUGGAGUCCCGGAGAGGAGGGUGGAAUUCCUGGUGUAGCGGUGAAAUGCGUAGAUAUCAGGAGGAACACCGGUGGCGAAGGCGGCCCUCUGGACGGUGACUGACGCUGAGACGCGAAAGCGUGGGGAGCAAACAGGAUUAGAUACCCUGGUAGUCCACGCUGUAAACGAUGAGCACUAGGUGUCGCGGGUAUUGACCCCUGCGGUGCCGACGCUAACGCAUUAAGUGCUCCGCCUGGGGAGUACGGUCGCGAGAUUAAA